AUGUUGUUAGUUGUGUCUGCAUUAAUUCAUCCCUGCUGGCCAUUUAUGAUCAUGAGUUGGUUCAGAUCUAGAUUUAUAAUGUUUUUAUUUACCACAACUAGUUCUAUUAAGGAGUGGAAACCAAAGCCAACAUAUACAAUUAACCAGGCUUCCGGACCAGUAAGCGUAUCCGAGUCUUCUAUCGUUUCAGCUGAAACUACCAUACAAUUGUCGUCUGUGUCUAAGGUCCUUGAUUCUGAGGAAGUUGCUUCUUAA